rnacentral:rRNA from 1 species
GAUGAACGCUGGCGGCGUGCCUAAUACAUGCAAGUCGAACGAGGGUACCCACGUAGCAAUACGAGGGUAUUCCUAGUGGCGAACGGGUGAGUAACACGUUGGUGACCUGCCCCGAAGUGAGGGAUAACACCGCGAAAGUGGUGCUAAUACCCCAUGUGACCCGAGGGAUUAGAUGCCCUUGGUGGAAAGGCGCAAGCCGCUUCGGGAGGGCCUGCGUCCCAUCAGCUAGUUGGUAAGGUAAUGGCUUACCAAGGCGACGACGGGUAGGGGACCUGAGAGGGUGGCCCCCCACACUGGCACUGAAACACGGGCCAGACACCUACGGGAGGCAG